CCCAGCGAUGAAUCGCUGGGCUAUUUUCGAGCGUCCCGGCGGGACG
rnacentral:sRNA from 12 species